GUGAUGACGAGGCACUACGGUGCUGAAGCAACAAAUGCCCUGCUUCCAGGAAAAGCCUCUAAGCAUCAGGUAACAUCAAAUCGUACCCCAAACCGACACAGGUGGUCAGGUAGAGAAUACCAAGGCGCUUGAGAGAACUCGGGUGAAGGAACUAGGCAAAAUGGUGCCGUAACUUCGGGAGAAGGCACGCUGAUAUGUAGGUGAAGCGACUUGCUCGUGGAGCUGAAAUCAGUCGAAGAUACCAGCUGGCUGCAACUGUUUAUUAAAAACACAGCACUGUGCAAACACGAAAGUGGACGUAUACGGUGUGACGCCUGCCCGGUGCCGGAA
rnacentral:rRNA from 1 species